rnacentral:rRNA from 1 species
UACGAAGGUCCCAAGCGUUAUCCGGAUUUAUUGGGUUUAAAGGGUGCGUAGGCGGGCUAUUAAGUCAGUGGUGAAAGCCCCAAGCUUAACUUGGGAACUGCCAUUGAUACUGAUGGUCUUGAGUACAUUUGAGGUGGGCGGAAUGUGUCAUGUAGCGGUGAAAUGCUUAGAUAUGACACAGAACACCGAUUGCGAAGGCAGCUCACUAAACUGUAACUGACGCUGAGGCACGGAAAGCCGUGGGGAGCAAACAGG